rnacentral:rRNA from 1 species
CCUACGGGUGGCAGCAGUGGGGAAUAUUGCACAAUGGGGGAAACCCUGAUGCAGCGACGCCGCGUGAGUGAAGAAGGAUCUCGGUAUGUUAAGCUCUAUUAGUACGGAAGUAAAUGACGGUACGCGAUUAUGUAUCACCGGAUAACGACGUGCCAGCUGCCCCGGCAACGCGCAGGGGGCCAGCGUUAUCCGGAUGUUCUGGGCGUAAAGGGAGCGUAGUCGGCAGCAAAAGUGAGAAGUGAAAUGCCUGGGUUUAACUUCGGAACUGCUUUUGAUACUGUGCAGCUAGAGUGCAGUAGAGGUAGGCGGAAUGCCUGGUGUAGCGGUGAAAUGCGUAGAUAUUAGGCAGAACACCGAUGGCGAAGGCAGCUUACUGAGCUAUAACUGACGUUGAGGCACGAAAGCGUGGGGAGCAAACAGGAUUAGAUACCCCUGUAGUC